rnacentral:tRNA from 1 species
GGAAUAUUAUGACAAAGUGAAAAGCUUCUAACUUUACUCUAAGCGGUUAAAUUCCGUUUAUAUUCCU